AUUUAAAUCCUUAUUUAUGAACGUAAAGACAGGGGCUGGAGGAGCCCAGGUGAGGCUGGUUCCCAAAGGAAAACCACAAGGCUAUUGUAAAUUCCUUGAACAAGAUGCAAGGUUGACCGCGCUUCAUUCCACAGCAAGAGAUAACACUUCAAAUCCAAGUGCUCCUGGAAGGGAGGGAAGACCUGGGCUUCAAUUCAUGCUAAGUUGUAAAUCACUAAUAUUGGAAAGUUAUUCUCAACCAGGUUUUGAUUGAGGAAGGAAGGCCAGUGUGAUGGUUCUGGCUGACCAAGGGUGGGGAGUCAUGUUGGGAGAGAGAGCCUCAUUUCUUCGGCCAUGGGAGAGAGGCUGGCACAAAGCUGGGGUCCUCUCUGGGGCAAAUACCAGCUCAGGAAAACCACAGGAGCCAUUCCUUCACGUGGACCCAACUAUGGACCAGAACAUUCUUCUCAUGGAGAUGGCAGAUACAUAAGAACAAGCCCAGUUGUACAAGUGUGCCCCACUCCUGAGUUACUGCUUUGCUGUGGCCAUCUGGUUUCCAAGGUCCUGCUGGAUGGGUCAGCACACCAAAUUACAAGAUGCUAGAUUUUGCCUGGAGUAUAAGGAUACUGUUUGCAUGAGUCUUCUUCUGGAAUCAACAGUCAAACACGCCCAACAUGCUAGUAA